rnacentral:rRNA from 1 species
UGGGGGAUAUUGCACAAUGGGCGAAAGCCUGAUGCAGCGACGCCGCGUGGGGGAUGAAGGCCUUCGGGUUGUAAACUUCUUUUGCUCUGAACAAGGCGCACCAUGGGGUGUGUUGAGUGUAGGGGUUGAUUAGCGCCGGCUAACUACGUGCCAGCAGCCGCGGUAAUACGUAGGGCGCGAGCGUUGUCCGGAAUUAUUGGGCGUAAAGGGCUUGUAGGUGGCUGGUUGCGUCUGUCGUGAAAGCUCAUGGCUUAACUGUGGGUUUGCGGUGGGUACGGGCUGGCUUGAGUGCAGUAGGGGAGGCUGGAAUUCCUGGUGUGGCGGUGGAAUGCGCAGAUAUCAGGAGGAAUACCGGUGGCGAAGGCGGGUCUCUGGGCUGUUACUGACACUGAGGAGCGAAAGCAUGGGGAGCGAACAGG